rnacentral:rRNA from 1 species
UUCCUACGGGAGGCAGCAGUGGGGAAUAUUGCACAAUGGGCGAAAGCCUGAUGCAGCAACGCCGCGUGAGGGACGACGGCCUUCGGGUUGUAAACCUCUUUUAGCAGGGAAGAAGCGAAAGUGACGGUACCUGCAGAAAAAGCGCCGGCUAACUACGUGCCAGCAGCCGCGGUAAUACGUAGGGCGCAAGCGUUAUCCGGAAUUAUUGGGCGUAAAGAGCUCGUAGGCGGUUUGUCGCGUCUGCUGUGAAACCCCGAGGCUCAACCUCGGGCCUGCAGUGGGUACGGGCAGACUAGAGUGCGGUAGGGGAGAUUGGAAUUCCUGGUGUAGCGGUGGAAUGCGCAGAUAUCAGGAGGAACACCGAUGGCGAAGGCAGAUCUCUGGGCCGUAACUGACGCUGAGGAGCGAAAGGGUGGGGAGCAAACAGGCUUAGAUACCCUGGUAGUCCACCCCGUAAACGUUGGGAACUAGUUGUGGGGUCCAUUCCACGGAUUCCGUGACGCAGCUAACGCAUUAAGUUCCCCGCCUGGGGAGUACGGCCGCAAGGCUAAAACUCAAAGGAAUUGACGGGGACCCGCACAAGCGGCGGAGCAUGCGGAUUAAUUCGAUGCAACGCGAAGAACCUUACCAAGGCUUGACAUAUACGAGAACGGGCCAGAAAUGGUCAACUCUUUGGACACUCGUAAACAGGUGGUGCAUGGUUGUCGUCAGCUCGUGUCGUGAGAUGUUGGGUUAAGUCCCGCAACGAGCGCAACCCUCGUUCUAUGUUGCCAGCACGUAAUGGUGGGAACUCAUGGAAUACUGCCGGGGUCAACUCGGAGGAAGGUGGGGAUGACGUCAAAUCAUCAUGCCCCUUAUGUCUUGGGCUUCACGCAUGCUACAAUGGCCGGUACAAAGGGCUGCAAUACCGCAAGGUGGAGCGAAUCCCAAAAAGCCGGUCCCAGUUCGGAUUGAGGUCUGCAACUCGACCUCAUGAAGUCGGAGUCGCUAGUAAUCGCAGAUCAGCAACGCUGCGGUGAAUACGUUCCCGGGUCUUGUACACACCGCCCGUCAAGUCAUGAAAGUCGGUAACACCUGAAGCCGGUGGCCCAACCCUUGUGGAGGGAGCC